GGUAAUUUCUGCUGUUUCCUGUUUGGAACUGAGUUGGAAUUAGUGAAAUGGCCCUUUAAAGGAUCUCGAAAGUGCAGUAGUUGGCAUCUCAAGUGAAGUGUGGGGGAAGGGCCGUGUAGCUGCUAAUGCCAGGCACACGGUGAGAGUCCGGUGGCUGGAUUGAUGGAGGCCCUUUCUAGAGUGUGACAGAUUCAGCAGAGCUGUCUUGAAGGAUGGUAGCGAUUCAGAUGUGACUCGCAUCGGUAAGAAAUGAUUGAAAGGUUUGGAUAUACUGUGGAAACAGCCCCACAGUGUGAGGGGAAACUGCGAAGACUCUUCAGGCCUUUCACUAGACACUGUCAGCACACUUUUAACCACAGAGUUGUUUGCUGUUAUCUAAUCAGUACUCAGUUUGGAGAUGCUUUUGCAUGGAUCUGGUGUACGUUAUGCCAAGCAACGUGUGUGAGCUUAGUUGAUCAGUAGAAGAACUCAUCGUCUUUGUAAGACAGUUCAAGACAUUUCCUUUGAAUUGAUAUUUUCUGCUGAAAGUUUCAUGCUGUCAUACCUGUCUUAGCUCUGUGUCCAGAACAAAAAAUUUUCCGAAAGGGGCGGGGGACGGAAAACUUGUGGCCAAGCUUACAGAACAUGAAUCUUUCAGGUAUAACCCUAGAAUAUUCUUCAGAUUCAUAUAACUUGAAUCAUGGGCUCUGCCCAGCGCUAUUCUUACUGUUUAAGCCUCAUAGUUUUCUAGGGUAGUUAGAUCUCUACUCCCUCUCGAUUUAAUAAUAAUUAAAUCUUAAUAAUUGCAUGAUCAAAUUCAUGCUGAUUGCAUAAAGGAUCAGGAACAGCUGAGCAGUACCAAGUUUUGUUUCAUUUUGGUUUUCCUCUUGUUAGAGUUUCCGGGGUUGUCAUUUGGUCGAGCGUAUCCACAUGCUUCUAAUUAUGGUAUGAGAUUGUGGCUGGAUCCCGUUGUCCUUAACCAGAGUAGUGCUUGUUCUCCUGCAUUAUUGGACAGUUUGUAUCCAACGUGUAAAUAGAAUUUCUUAAGUCCAAUUCUAACCAUGGCAUACUUUUAUUAUAAACAAACCACAUCUGAUUGCACAUUAAACAAGGGUGCCGUUUUUGGUUGCUGGAACCGAAUACUUUAAAGAUGAAAAAAAAACAUGCCGAGGAAAAAAGAUAAGAAAAUUAAUGUUAUUUGAUUCAUAUGCGUCUUCAUUGUACUAGACAAUCAACAUUAGAAGGAAUCAGACUGUUGCUGUAGUUAUGCCUAGGUGAUUUGGUACAUAUAAUUGGCUGCCUACUUAAAUUUAUUUUGUUUCCUUGCCUGCGCUCUUAUUUUUAAUUAUUCCAUUUUAAGUGGGCAGUUUCAACUUCACAACUAACUUCAAGAUCCGGUAGCAUGUCCUAGAGAUUAAAAUAUCUUUAGGUUAAGUCAUGAGCAGCUUAGUCCUUCCGCAGGUGGUCAAAGAACAAAACGCUGAAGGCUGGUUUUCAGAUGAUACUGUCCCUGCUAGAAGGCUGGUUUUCAGAUGAUACUGUCCCUGCUAGAAGGCUGGUUUUCAGAUGAUACUGUCCCUGCUAGAAGGCUGGUUUUCAGAUGAUACUGUCCCUGCUAGAAGGCUGGUUUUCAGAUGAUACUGUCCCUGCUAGAAGGCUGGAUUUCAGAUGAUACUGUCCCUGUUUGAUCCAAACAUUUUCACCGUCUUUCCCCAUUAGGUCAGUUAUAAGCACCAGUUCCUUCCAUUGACUCUUUCCCCAACGUAUUCUUUAACAAAGUAUGAAUAGCAUGGUGAAGCACUGAAAAAUAAACCCAGUUGGGCUCCGUGUGGUGGGGUAGGUGUUAGUGGAUUCCCCAGGACACAACUGCUCAAAGACAUUGGUAUUCAGAGUUGCUUCGAAAAGAUUGUUCUAGAUGGAGAGAGAUGCAAGUGCAAGUUGAUACCAACUUACAGGCAUGUUCAAAGAUAAAGUAAGCUAUCUAAAAAUACUCAGUGUUCCCACUAAAAAAUUUUUUAAAAUUAUCUUACCAGAUCUUUCAUUAGCAGACCAUCAGCCAUCUUCCCCGUAACACUAAGAAAUUACCUUUUUUUUUCCUUUCAGAUUUGCAUUACAGUGCAUUACUGUUUACAAGAUACACAUACUGUGAACAGAUCUAAGUCUUUGUCUUUUGUAAGGUUUGUAGAAUGAAUGUUGUUUUAAAGAUGGUGUUAUGUUAAAUAUCUUCAGGUCUCUGUAAAUGCUAGCUCCUGUUUACUAACCUUUGUUUGGUCAGGUGUGUGUCCAUGUAGCUGAAAGAGGAUAGAAAUUGCAGUUUCUGUAACUUUUCCCAUUUUCAUUUCUUGUAAAGUUACCACUACAGACCUGGUUGUGUUAAAUCAAAAGAUCGGUUAUGGGGCUGGGGAUUUAGCUCAGUGGUAGAGUGCUUGCCUAGCAAGCACAAGGCCCUGGGUUCGGUCCCCAGGUCUGAAAAAAAGAAAAAAAAAAAAAAAGAUCGGUUAUGAUGUGCAAUACCGGAAAUCAUGUUCAGUCCUAUAAGGAAUCUUUUCAAGGCGCACACACAGGAAGUAAAUGAGAUUGAUGUGUGUGUCUCUGUGAUUCACCCCAACUCAAACGACUCUGGGUUGAGCGUGGAAUAAAACAGCACUCACAGAGACUGACAGCAGGGGCACUUCCGGCCUUGGGAAAUGUUACGUCGCUGUUAAAAUUGGAAAUUUGAACUUUUUAUAUCAUAAUUUCAGAAUUUAGCUACCAUACCUUUUGGGAAACAUGAUUAUCACAAGAACAUAGAUUAUGUAAAUAACCUAUAACUAAGACACUGCAAAUAUAAAAUUAGUAUCGCUUGGCUGUUAAUUAUAUAAAGAUGUUACCUAUGUCUGUUUUUAAAACAUGCAUGUAUUUAACAAUUUUAUCAUAGUAUUGUCAUGAAAAAAUAAAUAUAUUUUCUUACGUCUUACUCUAGUAAAUUGGGACAUUUAUUGGU
rnacentral:lncRNA from 1 species